rnacentral:rRNA from 1 species
GACAGAGGGUGCAAACGUUGUUCGGAAUUACUGGGCGUAAAGCGUGUGUAGGCGGCCUUGCAAGUCGGAUGUGAAAGCCCCGGGCUUAACCCGGGAAGUGCACUCGAAACUGCUUGGCUAGAGUAUCGGAGAGGUUGGUGGAAUUCUCGGUGUAGAGGUGAAAUUCGUAGAUAUUCGCAAGAACACCAGUGGCGAAGGCGGCUCACUGGCCGAUACUGACGCUGAGGCACGAAAGCGUGGGGAGCAAACAGG